CCCAGGUGUGCCCAGGUGAGGUAGGGUGGGUGUUACCUACACCAGGUGAGUGCAGUCCUCGCCCCAGUCCGGCCGGUACUGCGCCCAGGUGAGCUCAGGUGUGCCCAGGUAACCCCAGGUGAGCCCAAUUAACACUCAGGUGACCCCACCUGACCCCAGGUGUGGUUAUAAAGGUGUUACCUACACCAGGUGAGUGCAGUCCUCGCCCCAGUCCGGCCGGUACUGAGCCCAGGUGAGCUCAGGUGUGCCCAGGUAAGGCUCAGAUCAGUACAGGUGAGCCC